rnacentral:rRNA from 1 species
UACGUAGGGUGCGAGCGUUGUCCGGAAUUAUUGGGCGUAAAGGGCUCGUAGGCGGUUUGUCGCGUCGGGAGUGAAAACCUUGGGCUUAACUCAGGGCUUGCUUUCGAUACGGGCAGACUAGAGGUAGGUAGGGGAGAUCGGAAUUCCUGGUGUAGCGGUGAAAUGCGCAGAUAUCAGGAGGAACACCGGUGGCGAAGGCGGAUCUCUGGGCCUUACCUGACGCUCAGGCACGAAAGCUAGGGGAGCGAACAGG